rnacentral:rRNA from 1 species
UACGUAGGGGGCGAGCGUUGUCCGGAAUUAUUGGGCAUAAAGAGCUCGUAGGCGGCUUGUCGCGUCGGAUGUGAAAGCCCGGGGCUUAACUCCGGGUCUGCAUUCGAUACGGGCAGGCUAGAGUUCGGUAGGGGAGAUCGGAAUUCCUGGUGUAGCGGUGAAAUGCGCAGAUAUCAGGAGGAACACCGGUGGCGAAAGCGGGUCUCUGGGCCGAUACUGACGCUGAGGAGCGAAAGCGUGGGGAGCGAACAGG